UAAUGAACAGAUAAUGUGGACGUAGAGACGAGGGGCUACAACAUAAUACCAUAGAUAGAACAAGUAUGUUUAUGUUAUACAAAUAUUUGAUGAUAUGUAUUCUGCUACUGGCAGUGCUAGCUGUUUUUAAGGAAAAUAUGUGUGACUAUUUGACGUUAUCUGAUCAUAGCUUCAGCUAGCUAAUUUUCUCCAGGUUAGUUCUAAAUAGGACCACCAACAAGUAACGGUAGUUAGUUAGCUAACUAGCUAGCUGCGUUCAAUACUUGGUGGCUUUACCGAUAGUGAUAGACAAUAUCGGGAGCUGAUAUUAAAAGCCACCAAGCAUCGAGCUAACGUUAAAUGCUAACGCUACCUACUGUUGUAACGUUAGCUAUCAUACCAAACAGGUGUGUGUGUCAGUCUGUCAAGUUAUACUGUACAAGGAAAACGGCUUGACAUGCCAAGUUUUGACCAUCACCCACUCUCUGCCAUCAGGGACUGAUUUUAGACCUGGGACACCAGUGCAAUUAAUUACGAGGUAGAACAGGACCAGCAGGUGCCAGACCUCGUAGGAUUCAUCAGUCUCCAUAGACGCUGGAUGCAGAAUUACAGUCCCCUUACAAUCCCCCACAUCCUACACAUGUUCAGUAGAGAAGGAAAUCCCUAGACAUGGAGCAGCUGCAGCAGCUAGACCACUCCCAACAGGACACAUACAUCUCAACCUCCACCUACAGUACCAGUCAACAGUUUGUACACACCUACUCAUUCCAGGGUUUUCCUUAAUUUUUUACUAUUUUCUACAUUGUAGAAUUAUAGUGAAGACGUCAAAACUAUGAAAUAACACAUAUGGAAUCAUGUAGUAACCAAAAAAGUGUUAAACAAAUCAACAUAUUUUUUAUUUGAGAUUCUUCAAAGUAGCCACCCUUUGCCUUGAUGAGAGUUUUGCACACUAUUUUAGCAUGGAUUUAAUAUCAGAUUUUGUUUCAACAUGCUUCCAGUCCAUAACAUGGAUAGAUGAGUAGUUGUUCUCUAUUAUUCCAUUGAGUUUGCUGACUACAUAUUUGAAAUUAUUCUUUAAUUGAGUCUCCAACAUGGGAUGAAUUCCAUUAUACACUAGGUAGUUUGGAACCUGGAUGCUGAUUGGCUGAAAGCUGUGGUAUAUCAGACAAUAAACCAUGGGUAGGAUGCAAAAAUACUUGUUUACUUUUCUAUUUCUGUUGGUAACCUGUUUAUAAUAGCAAUAAAGCACCUUGGGGGUUUGUUGUAUUUGGCCAAUAUCACGGCUAAGGGCUGUAUCCAGGCACUUCACCAUGGUAUAUUGGCCAUAUACACACCCCCUCAGGCCUUAUUUCUUAUUUACUAUGUAUGCGAUAUAUGUGUAUUUUCAAAAUGUUACAUAUUUGAAACAGUAUGUUUAAUUUUCAUAGUCUCCAAUAUGUGCUAAAGUGCCUUCGGAAAGUAUUCAGACCCCCUUGACUUUUUCCACAUUUUCUUACGUUACAGCCUUAUUCUAAAAUGGAUUAAAUAAAAAUAAUUCCUCAACAAUCUACACACAAUACACCAUAAUUCAAAACCAAACGUUUUUAAAAU